rnacentral:rRNA from 1 species
AUUGAACGCUGGCGGCAUGCCUUACACAUGCAAGUCGAACGGCAGCACGGGUGCUUGCACCUGGUGGCGAGUGGCGAACGGGUGAGUAUUACAUCGGAACGUACCUUAUCGUGGGGGAUAACGCAGCGAAAGCUGUGCUAAUACCGCAUACGCCCUGAGGGGGAAAGCAGGGGAUCGCAAGACCUCGCGCGAUUAGAGCGGCCGAUGCCUGAUUAGCUUGUUGGUGGGGUAAAAGCCCACCAAGGCGACGAUCAGUAGCUGGUCUGAGAGGACGAUCAGCCACACUGGGACUGGGACACGGCCCAGACUCCUACGGGAGGCAGCAGUGGGGAAUUUUGGACAAUGGGGGCAACCCUGAUCCAGCAAUGCCGCGUGAGUGAAGAAGGCCUUCGGGUUGUAAAGCUCUUUUGUCAGGGAAGAAACACCGGCUCUAACACAGUCCGGGAAUGACGGUACCUGAAGAAUAAGCACCGGCUAACUACGUGCCAGCCGCCGCCGUAA